ensembl:snRNA U6 U6 spliceosomal RNA
GUGCUCACUUCAGCAGCACAUAUACUAAAGCUGGAACGAUACAGAGGAAAUUAGCACGGCCUCUGCACAACGAUAACACACAAAUUUGUGAAGCAUUCCACAUUUUU